UCCAUUGUUUUUUGUUUUUUAAAUAUUAUUUUAUUGGACCCCCAAGUGGGUCCCCAGCUGCUGGGCAUUCUGCAGAGGCCAUGCCUUUACUGUCCAGGGCACCACAUGGGGGCAGGAGCCACACCUCUGGUUGGCUGGUGCCUGAGCCCAGCCCAGGAGAUGGAGAGCUGAUCCCCCUAGUGCUGGCACUGGGGGUGAAAGCCCUUCAGUCUUGGCACCAUCCAUCCAUGAGUGGGAAUAGCACUGCCUUGAUCCCUUUGGACAGACUGAGCUUUCUGAGGAAAGUAGUGUUGAUACUAGGAGCAGGGGUGUCCCUGGCUUUGGGGCUCUCCCUCUGCCACACUCCUACCUGUCCUACAUUCUGAACACCUAAGUUGGAUGGUGGCAUUGGGCAGGGCCACUUGGCCCUCAGGUCUUCUGCUCCCACACAUGCUUCUGGGCCCCGGGUUGAUGGGGCAAGAAGGGUCCCCUCCCAGCCCUUUUUCUCCUGGGUUUCCACAGGCCGAUCGUGGUGCCUGCGCAUGUGUGCCAUGUAUGUCUUCGUGGAUGGUACUGUGAUUAUGGCAGCGGAUGCUCUAGUGUCACCUGCUCUGAGCACCAGUGUGGAAGGUUCCCUCCCUAGCCCUCUGCCUGGCUGUGCCAGCCGCUCCCUGCAGCUGGUGCCCUGGUGCCACCCACCUGGCAGAUCACUGGAGACUGCCUGGUGGCUAUGUGGAAAAUUCCAUCUGAGCCCCCCCACACCCAGCAUGCAGAAGAGCUUGCAGCAACCUGGGGUGUUUCCCCUCCAUCCUUACACACUGAGCUUAGUGUGAGCUGUGACUUGCACAAAAUAAACCUAUUUCCCUUUUCAAGCCCUGGGCUCCAGGGUCUCUU
rnacentral:lncRNA from 1 species